UGGUGUGGGAUCGUGAUGGGAUGGAUUUGGAGACUGACAAGUGACAAGUGAUCAGUGAUGAGCACUGUGCAGUGAAGAGGGCUGCGUAACAUCGGUGUGUGAAUCAGUACAGUGGAUAUCAGUGUGUUUAUCAGCUCUCUGAGCCUCUAUCGCAAUCGUGGGAGAGAGCAGAUUCUGAGAUUGCAUUUGGAUGGUUCGCGAAUGGGAAUUGAAAGAACAUCUCAUGGGAGCAGCCUCUUCAAUUGGUGACGUACCGAAAAUCAAACGUGAUGCGUUUAACGACAGCUGCUUACGCCCUGCUCCAUGCCUGGCUUAUGUCGGCUCAUCCACGACUCAUAUGGCACAGCCGAUGGCGGUGGCCGUGUCGCCGACAAAGGACUCGUCUGUGUUGGGCAGACAGACGGGCACGAUGUGCUCCUUAAACACCACGUCCUUGCUCAGCU